rnacentral:rRNA from 1 species
AUUGAACGCUGGCGGCAUGCCUUACACAUGCAAGUCGAACGACGCUAGGGGCAACUCUAGCGAGUGGCGUACGGGUGAGUAAUGCAUCGGAACGUGCCCUCUUGUGGGGGAUAACCAGUCGAAAGAUUGGCUAAUACCGCAUGAGCUCGAGAGAGGAAAGCGGGGGACCGCAAGGCCUCGCGCGAGAGGAGCGGCCGCUGCCCGAUUAGCUAGUUGGUGGGGUAAUGGCCCACCAAGGCGACGAUCGGUAGCUGGUCUGAGAGGACGACCAGCCACACUGGGACUGAGACACGGCCCAGACUCCUACGGGAGGCAGCAGUGGGGAAUUUUGGACAAUGGGGGCAACCCUGAUCCAGCCAUGCCGCGUGUGUGAAGAAGGCCUUCGGGUUGUAAAGCACUUUCGGACGGAACGAAAUCGCGCGGGUGAACAAUCCGCGUGGAUGACGGUACCGUAAGAAGGAGCACCGGCUAACUACGUGCCAGCCGCCGCCGUAAAAC